rnacentral:rRNA from 1 species
UCAGGCUAGAGUGCAGGAGAGGAAGGUAGAAUUCCCGGUGUAGCGGUGAAAUGCGUAGAGAUCGGGAGGAAUACCAGUGGCGAAGGCGGCCUUCUGGACUGACACUGACGCUGAGGUGCGAAAGCGUGGGUAGCAAACAGGAUUAGAUACCCUGGUAGUCCACGCCGUAAACGAUGUCGACUAGCCGUUGGGGUCCUCGAGACCUUUGUGGCGCAGUUAACGCGAUAAGUCGACCGCCUGGGGAGUACGGCCGCAAGGUUAAAACUCAAAUGAAUUGACGGGGGCCCGCACAAGCGGUGGAGCAUGUGGUUUAAUUCGAUGCAACGCGAAGAACCUUACCUACUCUUGACAUCGAGCGAACUUUCCAGAGAUGGAUUGGUGCCUUCGGGAACGCUCAGACAGGUGCUGCAUGGCCGUCGUCAGCUCGUGUUGUGAAAUGUUGGGUUAAGUCCCGUAACGAGCGCAACCCUUGUCCCUAUUUGCCAGCGAUUCGGUCGGGAACUCUAGGGAGACUGCCGGUGACAAACCGGAGGAAGGUGGGGACGACGUCAGGUCAUCAUGGCCCUUACGAGUAGGGCUACACACGUGCUACAAUGGCCGGUACAAUGGGCUGCAAUCCCGCGAGGGGGAGCCAAUCUCAUAAAGCCGGUCUCAGUCCGGAUCGGAGUCUGCAACUCGACUCCGUGAAGUCGGAAUCGCUAGUAAUCGUGCAUCAGAAUGGCACGGUGAAUACGUUCCCGGGCCUUGUACACACCGCCCGUCACACCAUGGGAGUGGACUGCACCAGAAGUGGUUAGCCUAACUUCGGAGGGCGAUCACCACGGUGUGGUUCAUGACUGGGGGAAGUCGA